GGUCAUGUUACUGCUAGAUGCCCGCAAGCUGUGUGUGAUAGAUGUAAGAAGAAAGGUCAUUUGCACAUGGUGUGUGCUGAAUUCCUGCUGUGGGAGUGUUUUCCUAUGAUGUGUGCGUUCCAAGGCAAGGGGCAUGGUUUCUUCUAUAUUCCUGAUUUUAGCAUUGAUAGGCAAGCCAGGGAGAGGAUCUUUAACGUGAUUGUUACCAUCACUGAGGGGGCUGCUCCGACCAAAGAUAUAGAACAUGAAUUAAGUAUCUAUGUGGGGCAGGGUUGGAGAUGUUCUGCUAGGUUUUUUGCACCUCAAAAAUUUGUGAUGAGGAUGCCUAACCCUAGGGAAGUGGAUCGUGCAUUAUUUGUGGAAAAUGUGAGACUGAAGCAGUGUGGAGUUUUGGUUAAGUUCUCUCCAUGGUCUGAAGAUAUUGAAUCUGAGGGCCUGUUGGAAAUUGCUUGGGUUCGGAUUGGGAAGAUCCCUCCGAACAAGAGAUGUGAUAGGACUGUGGCCUAUGCGGGUGGAUUAGUGGGCAUUACCCUUGAGGUAGAUAUGUCUACUAUAAAUCGCUCCUCCUCUGUUAGAGCCAAAAUUGGAUGUCGCUCUAUUGAUCAGUUGCCUGCUACGUCAGAAGGUGUCCUGGGGGGUGUUUUUAUAAGUUUACUUAUGAGGUGGAAGAAGUUCUUGUCAGGGAUCCUGCGAAAAAAGACGCUAAAGGUGUGGAAGUGCAAAAUGCACCUGCUAAACCUGAUCAGACUCCUAAACGUAAACGAGCUCAUCAGGAAAAAGAAGAAAAGCAAGCUGAUUUUCCUGAGAGUAGCAGAACUGGUGCUGGUGCUCGUGGGGGCAAGACCUGUCAUCUGUCACCACAAGACCAUGACCUCUCAGAAUCGUCUAAUAGUGAAAAUGAUACAUCUUUGCUUAUUGAAACACUAG
rnacentral:rRNA from 1 species